AAGGCCCUGCUUGCAGGGUACUCGAGUGGCGAACGGGUGAGUAACACGUGGGUGAUCUGCCCUGCACUUCGGGAUAAGCUUGGGAAACUGGGUCUAAUACCGGAUAGGAACCAUCUUUAGNUGUGGUGGUUGGAAAGUUUUUUCGGUGUAGGAUGAGCUCGCGGCCUAUCAGCUUGUUGGUGGGGUAAUGGCCUACCAAGGCGGCGACGGGUAGCCGGCCUGAGAGGGUGUACGGCCACAUUGGGACUGAGAUACGGCCCAGACUCCUACGGGAGGCAGCAGUGGGGAAUAUUGCACAAUGGGCGCAAGCCUGAUGCAGCGACGCCGCGUGGGGGAUGAAGGCCUUCGGGUUGUAAACUCCUUUCGCUAGGGACGAAGCUUUUUUGUGACGGUACCUAGAUAAGAAGCACCGGCUAACUACGUGCCAGCAGCCGCGGUAAUACGUAGGGUGCGAGCGUUGUCCGGAAUUACUGGGCGUAAAGGGCUCGUAGGUGGUUUGUCGCGUCGUCUGUGAAAUUCUGGGGCUUAACUCCGGGCGUGCAGGCGAUACGGGCAUAACUUGAGUGCUGUAGGGGUAACUGGAAUUCCUGGUGUAGCGGUGAAAUGCGCAGAUAUCAGGAGGAACACCGAUGGCGAAGGCAGGUUACUGGGCAGUUACUGACGCUGAGGAGCGAAAGCAUGGGUAGCGAACAGGAUUAGAUACCCUGGUAGUCCAUGCCGUAAACGGUGGGCGCUAGGUGUGAGGGUCUUUCUACGACUUUCGUGCCGUAGCUAACGCAUUAAGCGCCCCGCCUGGGGAGUACGCCGCAAGGCUA
rnacentral:rRNA from 1 species